rnacentral:rRNA from 1 species
UACGUAGGAUGCAAGCGUUGUCCGGAAUUAUUGGGCGUAAAGAGCGCGCAGGCGGUAUGACAAGUCAGAUAUGAAAGAGGCCGGCUUAACCGGCAAGGGUCAUUUGAAACUGUCAGACUAGAGUGCAGCAAAGGAUAGUGGAAUUCCCGGUGUAGUGGUGAAAUGCGUAGAUAUCGGGAGGAACACCAGUGGCGAAGGCGACUAUCUGGGCUGCAACUGACGCUGAGGCGCGAAGGCUAGGGUAGCAAACAGG